rnacentral:tRNA from 2 species
GGGCCAUUAGCUCAGUUGGUUAGAGCUUCCGGCUCAUAACCGGACGGUCCUGGGUUCGAGUCCCCGAUGGCCCA